rnacentral:rRNA from 1 species
GACGAACGCUGGCGGCGUGCUUAACACAUGCAAGUCGAACGGAAAGGCCCUGCUUUUGUGGGGUGCUCGAGUGGCGAACGGGUGAGUAACACGUGAGUAACCUGCCCUUGACUUUGGGAUAACUUCAGGAAACUGGGGCUAAUACCGGAUAGGAGCUCCUGCUGCAUGGUGGGGGUUGGAAAGUUUCGGCGGUUGGGGAUGGACUCGCGGCUUAUCAGCUUGUUGGUGGGGUAGUGGCUUACCAAGGCUUUGACGGGUAGCCGGCCUGAGAGGGUGACCGGCCACAUGGGGACUGAGAGACGGCCCAGACUCCUACGGGAGGCAGCAGUGGGGAAUAUUGCACAAGGGGCGGAAGCCUGAUGCAGCAACGCCGCGUGCGGGAUGACGGCCUUCGGGUUGUAAACCGCUUUCGCCUGUGACGAAGCGUGAGGGACGGUAAUGGGUAAAGAAGCACGGGCUAACUACG